rnacentral:rRNA from 1 species
UACGUAGGUGGCAAGCGUUGUCCGGAUUUAUUGGGCGUAAAGCGCGCGCAGGCGGUUCGUUAAGUUCGAGGUGAAAUCUCCUGGCUCAACUGGGAGGGGUCUUCGGAUACUGGCGGACUUGAGGAGAGCAGAGGUGAGUGGAAUUCUCGGUGUAGUGGUGAAAUGCGUAGAUAUCGAGAGGAACACCAGCGGCGAAGGCGGCUCACUGGGCUACACCUGACGCUGAGGCGCGAAAGCGUGGGGAGCGAACCGG